CAACCCUCAGGCUGGCCCUAUUUUUGUAGGUUUAGCUUGGUCUUGGGCGUCGUCUGUGGACGUGCCAUAAAAUUAUUGGCGGUGUGGGCGCCGGCUUCGAGCGUAGCAGAUGCGAAUCGCUUUGGAAGCCGGAGCCCGCCCAGCCAGGAAAACUUUGAAAU
rnacentral:misc_RNA from 1 species